UGUUUUUCUUUGUGAUAGUUCGAAAAGUUCUUAAGAGCAAUUAUUUUAACCUCGACAACUCUCUACAAUUAUUCUCAUUACUUCGACAACUUUAUAUUGUGUGGCACAAAUUUUCAAAGUCUCUUCUUUCUCUGUUUGAGGUGAAGAGAAACAGAAAUGAUAAGAAACAUACUUUUUUCGGUUAAACAAGAAUUUGAAACGUGUCAUAAACAAGAUAGUCAUACUACAAUAAAUGAAAUGGCUGCUGAAUAUAAUGUUUGUCGAAAUACUGCCCGCAACGUUAUUGAACGUUCUCAAAGUCCAGUAAAUCAAUCAAUCGGACAACUAUUAAAAGCGGACAACCAAACAGAAUAUAGCAGCUUGAAGAGAGAGCUAUAUAAGUGGUUCCAAAAGUGCAAGGAAUCCGGAAACGAGAUUGACUUUUUGCAAUUUAAGGCUAAAGGAUUAGAACUUAUGAAAGACUAUAAUGGAAUAAAAACGCAUAACUAUAGAUACCUCUGGCUGCGUCGUUGUUUCAUAUCUUUCGAAGAACAGGAAUAUCAUCCUCAACCUGCUAAAAAUUAAGAACAACAGGAUAAUGAUAAAAAUAAUGAAGAAAUUACAGAUAAUUUCACAAAAUGUUCAAAUCCUGGUUAAAAAAUCGAUGGAAGAAAAUGUUAACAACUGGAAAGCACAGUAUCCGCAGAUAACAUUAUAAACGGUGAAGAUAAUGUACAUGAUAAUAUCCACGCGGAUGAUGUUAUGAUAGAUUAAUUUUUAUAUAAUGGGUAUUCUUUUGACGAACGAUAUUUCCGUAAAUAUUUGUACAAUGAAGCAGUAAAUGAUAUAGUAAUAGAUUUUGAAGACUAUUUAUAACACAA